rnacentral:rRNA from 1 species
AGAGUUUGAUCAUGGCUCAGAUUGAACGCUGGCGGCAUGCCUAACACAUGCAAGUCGAACGGAAACGAUGGGAGCUUGCUCCCAGGCGUCGAGUGGCGGACGGGGGAGUAAUGCAUAGGAAUCUACCUAGAUGGCGGGGGAUAACCCAGGGAAACCUGGGCUAAUACCGCAUAUGGUUCAGAGGUCAUAAGGCCACUGAAUCAAAGCCUUCGGGCGCCAGAGGAUUGGCCUGCGGCCCAUUAUUUAAUCCUAGAUGGUGAGGUAACGGCUCACCAUGGGUACGAUGGGUAGCUGGUCUGAGAGGAUGAUCAGCCACACUGGGACUGAGACACGGCCCAGACUCCUACGGGAGGCAGCAGUGGGGAAUAUUGGACAAUGGGCGAAAGCCUGAUCCAGCUACAACCGCGUGUGUGAAGAAGGCCUUCGGGUCGUAAAGCACUGUCGGGAGGGACGAAGCCUUCGGGUUGACGGUACCUCGCAAGAAAGCACCGGCUAACUCCGUGCCAGCAGCCGCGGUAAUACGGAGGGUGCAAGCGUUGCUCGGAAUUACUGGGCGUAAAGCGAGCGCAGGCGGUCCAUUAAGUCGAUUGUGAAAGCCCGGAGCUCAACUCCGGAACUGCAGUUGAAACUGAUGGACUUGAGUACGAGAGAGGAAAGCGGAAUUCCUGGUGUAGAGGUGAAAUUCGUAGAUAUCAGGAGGAACAUCAGCGGCGAAGGCGGCUUUCUGGCUCGAUACUGACGCUCAUGCUCGAAAGCGUGGGGAGCAAACAGGAUUAGAUACCCUGGUAGUCCACGCCGUAAACGAUGAGUGCUAGUUGUUGGAGGACUAUACCCCUUCGGUGACGCAGUUAACGCAUUAAGCACUCCGCCUGGGGAGUACGGCCGCAAGGCUAAAACUCAAAGGAAUUGACGGGGGCCCGCACAAGCAGUGGAGUAUGUGGUUUAAUUCGACGCAACGCGCAGAACCUUACCCGGUCUUGACAUCAAUUGGAAUCCGUGGAAACUUGGGAGUGUGUCCCCUCACGGGGAAGCCAAGUGACAGGUGCUGCAUGGCUGUCGUCAGCUCGUGUUGUGAGAUGUUCGGUUAAGUCCGGCAACGAGCGCAACCCUUGUCGUUAGUUACCAUCAAUUCGGUUGGGUACUCUAGCGAGACUGCCGGUGACAAACCGGAGGAAGGUGGGGAUGACGUCAAGUCCUCAUGGCCUUUAUGAUCGGGGCUACACACGUGCUACAAUGGUUACUACAAUGGGCAGCAAUACUGCGAAGUGGAGCAAAUCCCAAAAAAGUAGCCUCAGUUCGGAUUGGAGUCUGCAACUCGACUCCAUGAAGUUGGAAUCGCUAGUAAUCGCUGAUCAGCAUGCAGCGGUGAAUACGUUCCCGGGCCUUGUACACACCGCCCGUCACACCACGAGAGUUGGCUGGACCUGAAGCCGUUGUCCCAACCGCAAGGAGGGAGACGUCGACGGUCUGGUUGGCGAUUGGGGUGAAGUCGUAACAAGGUA